GUCAUAUAGUUCUAAAGUUGUAAGGAUGGCGUCUCCAUGAGUUGAUCUUGUCUCUGCCAGUUUUCUGUCACAUAAUCUGAAGUUGAAUCAUGAAUUGUGAGAGCUAUUUGAUAUCAACCAGCCCAAUCCCAUAGUUCUAAAGAGAAACUUACCUCAAGGACCAGGUUCAAUGUGGAGACCCAUUUCCUUUACCGCUGGAAUACAUGACAUGGUCAGUGGAUGUGCCUAUGAACCUAUCACUCUGCUCUGGAAUUGGAAAUGAGUCCAGUUCUGCUGCAAGGUCUUCAUUAUUCGAUAGUCUUGCUAAAACGAUGAACGAUGAAUGGGGCCAGCCAGUUGAAAACUCACAAUCUUGCCUUGGGGAACACAAUUUACGGAGUCCAAGGGGACAAUCAGAAAACAUGAUCAGCUCAGAGACCUGUCAUGCACAGUACAGAAGGCUUGUCUGACUUACGAAGUACAGGCUAUUUUAUUGACUGGAAGAUCAAAAAGGAAUACAUAGCAGAGAUGCCCACAAAAGGGCAACCUCCAGAGUUUCUUACAUUGCGAAAGACGUGUGCUCUUUCCUUUUGAGGUUUCAGCAGCCUAGAAUAGGAAAGUCAAUCCAGAGAUGAUGGAGUCCCUCAAACCCUGCCUCAAGCAAAUAGUAGUCUGAAGGAGAGCAGGCAUCAUUCUACUUCAUAGCUGGUAAUAAACAACAGGA